GGAACAGGGCAGGCUGGAGACCAGCCCUGUUGGCUUCCCCACCUUGGGGUUGUGUGUCCUCAGCUGGAGUGGGGACACUGUCCAGCCUGCCAGUGUGGGCGUCUGAGCCUCAAAAUAGACUCCCUUUCUCCAGAGCUGUGGAUUCCCCUGGGCUGAGAGGAUGUAAACGGGCAGCAGCCCAGGGUCCUGGUCACAGGUCAGGCCCGGCAGCUUCCUCCAGGGUCACCCCCUCUGCCCACCAGGGGAGUUGGAAUUUGGUUCCAUCUGCAGGGUGCUGAUGUGGUUCAUGCUCCAGGGAACCAGGAAGCUGAGUCUGGGUAGGUGCUUGGAGCUGGGAUCACCGUUAGGAAGCUCAUCCCCAUUUUACGGAAAGGAAAUCAAGGCUCAGCGGAAGCUGUGUGCCCAGCCCUGCACCAGGGAGAGCAGGGCCAGUUUCCUCAGGUGCUACAGGCGCUCUGCUGCAGUGAGAAGCAGCCAGACAUCAGAGAUGCUGACGGUCCCACCAGCCCGUGGCGGGAGGGGCUGUGGCCACGGUGCUCCCGGUGCUGGGGCUGAGGCCUCCACAUCUUGCAGAGCUCAGGCUGCUGAGUGGGCUUGAUUGCUUCAAGUCGUGUGUGUGUCUGGCUGGCUCUGGCCAGCUCCCUGAUAGCUCCUGGGGUUGCCUGGAGCCCACUGGCUGCCCAUGGCUGGACCCCAGCCUGUGGGGGACCCCCUGGUAGGCAGGGAGACUAUGCACUUUGUUCACAUCUGAAGGGAGGAGGCAGGUGUACCCUGUGCCUCCCCCUCCUCCCAUGCUGGAGAGAGUGGCCCUGCGUCCCACUCCUGCGCUGGCUUCUGUUUCAGAGGCUGAGGGGAUCUGGCGGUGGAGCGCUAGGAUCAGACGCCCCCGCAAUGACCAGGCUCCCCCAGCUCCCCCGUCUCCAGAGUCGUGUACAACGGCAAGAGGACCAGCAGCCCCCGCUCCCCACCCAGCAGCAGCGAGAUCUUCACCCCAGCCCACGAGGAGAACGUCCGCUUCAUUUACGAAGCCUGGCAGGGCGUGGAGCGAGACCUGCGAAGCCAGGUGCCGGGCGGCGAGCGGGGUCUGGUGGAGGAGUAUGUGGAGAAGGUCCCUAACCCCAGCCUGAAGACCUUCAAGCCCAUCGACCUGAGUGACCUGAAGCGCCGGAGCACGCAGGAUGCCAAGAAGUCCUAGAGCGCCCAGCGCCCCUCCCCGGCCUCUGGAAGAUCAGGGUGCGAGGUGUCGGCUCCCUCCUGUCCUGUGGCCCUGCUCCUGGGAUGGGGGUGUCUUGCUCCAGCGGGCUGCAGACCGCAGCACCGGUGUGACUGACGGCUGAGGCCUCUCUCUCCUUCCCAAGUCCCCUCCUUCCUCCUUGGGGGUCUCAGGCUGCCCCCAUCAUGGGGGUCUGGGCCCUCCCCACCCUCCUGCCCUCCCCCAGCCACCUGGCUGUGUUUUUGAAGCUGCCUGGCCCCCAGGGACCCUGGCCUGCCCUCUUUCCUCUCCCCUCACCCUCCUGUCCUUGGCCACUGCAGAAUCAGGAGGGGAGCAGAAGGAGCCUCUGCUGCCCCCCAGGCUGCUGGGACUGGGCUGGUUUUGUCCUUGAAAUGGCCAGGAUACAGGACAAGGGCAGCCCCACCCCAUCCAACUUGGGACCCCCCCACAGACCCUUGCUGCUCCUGUGGCCUGGACACGCUGGGGAGCUUCUCACACCUACCCCUACUGUCCAGCCUGGCCCGUUCCCUGAAUCAGCUUCAAGAUGGCACCAGCUCUUUGGGCCUAGGAUACUGCCGGGCCCCCCAAAGGGGGUCCCCAGCAGCCAGGCCUGGCCUCCUGGUAUCUGUGGUCAUAGUGGCCCAUGGGUAGGGGCACCCAGGCUGACCCUGAGGUGCUGCUGCUGGGUCUGUCUUGGCUCUGGGGUAUGCUGGGAGGGUCACCAGGUCCCUUUUUCUUCCUGUGCCCUCUGAAAGCCAAGUGUCUGUGUGGCUGUGGAGCUCCAGGGUCUGUUAAUAAAGGCAGCGGCACUGG
rnacentral:lncRNA from 1 species